CUUGUCAUUUAGAGGAAGUAAAAGUCGUAACAAGGUCUCCGUAGGUGAACCUGCGGAGGGAUCAUUACACAAAUAUGAAGGCGGGCUGGAACCUCUCGGGGUUACAGCCUUGCUGAAUUAUUCACCCUUGUCUUUUGCGUACUUCUUGUUUCCUUGGUGGGUUCGCCCACCACUAGGACAAACAUAAACCUUUUGUAAUUGCAAUCAGCGUCAGUAACAAAUUAAUAAUUACAACUUUCAACAACGGAUCUCUUGGUUCUGGCAUCGAUGAAGAACGCAGCGAAAUGCGAUAAGUAGUGUGAAUUGCAGAAUUCAGUGAAUCAUCGAAUCUUUGAACGCACAUUGCGCCCUUUGGUAUUCCAAAGGGCAUGCCUGUUCGAGCGUCAUUUGUACCCUCAAGCUUUGCUUGGUGUUGGGCGUCUUGUCUCUAGCUUUGCUGGAGACUCGCCUUAAAGUAAUUGGCAGCCGGCCUACUGGUUUCGGAGCGCAGCACAAGUCGCACUCUCUAUCAGCAAAGGUCUAGCAUCCAUUAAGCCUUUUUUUCAACUUUUGACCUCGGAUCAGGUAGGGAUACCCGCUGAACUUAAGCAUAUCAAUAAGCGGAGGA
rnacentral:rRNA from 1 species